UGAAGUCAUUCGUCCAUACUGCUACCUGAGACCCAGUUCAAGCAACCACAUUGAUGUGACUGAUUCUCACUGUCUCUCUUAACCUUGCUGGUAUCCAUGAUUCAAACUACCAUCUGAAACUUCGUUGACGUCACUGAUCUGUGUGUUGGAUGUUACUGAACCUUGCUACCACUUGUAGCCAUAUUGCUGUCUGUAGUCUGUAAUCAUCUGAGACAGUGCUGAAAUCAGUGGUACAUGCUACCACCUGAGACCAGUUCACCUAAGAGUCCUGUGCUGACAAUGUGUACGAUGUUGAUUUCUGUGAUCAGUCUGCCACCGGAAACUAAGUUGAUGUACAUGAUCUGCCACAGACUACCAACCAUGUUGAUGUCACUGAUCCCUGUUGCCUGUGUUAACCAUGUUGAUGUUCAUUAUCUGACUUAACAUCUGAAAUGACGUUGAUGUCACUCAUCCAUGCUGCCGUUUGUAACCAUGUUUAUGGUCAUAGUCUGUGUUGGAAUCUUAAACCUUGUGGAUGUCCAUGGUCCACGUUGCCACUUGAAUCCAUAAUGAUGACAGUGAUGACUGUAGUCUGUGCUGCUGCUGGGGACUAGGUCGAUAUGCAUGAUCAAAGCUGCCAACAGAAAUCAUUUUAAUGUCGUUAAGCCAUCCUGGUGCUGGAGACGAUGUUGACAUCUGUGUUCUGUGCUGCCACCAAAAACCAUGCUGAUAUUCAUGGUCUGGGCUGCAUGGUGAAGACCAGUUGGAUAUCCAUGACUCAGAUUCUGAUGGAGACUGUGUUGUCAUCUGUGGUCAGUACUGCCACAAGAAGGCAUCCUGGUGUUAGUGAUCAGUGAUGCCACCUGCAAACACGUUAUGUUGGUGAUCUGUGUUGAAGUUAGAGACCAGAUGGAUGUCAGUUAUCCAAGCUGUCACCAGAAAUCUUGAGGACCUUGAUCUGUGCUGCUGCUGGAAACCAUGUGGAAGUCCGUGAUCUGUACUGCCACUGACAUUCUUGUCAAAGAAGCUUCUUUUGCAGUAGUAUCCAUGACUGCAGAAUCAUAACUGGAAAUGACAGACAUCGAAGGCUUCUGUGCUACCAUCUCCAAAAGAAACACUCUAGACAGGACCUUACUGAAGAGAGUCCUUGAAAAUUGUAAUAAAGAUGCUUAACUGUA